rfam:Clostridium sp. D5 genomic scaffold supercont1.5, whole genome shotgun sequence.
AUAAUGAUACUCCCGUCCAGUCACAGCCCGUGCGUUCAGAGCGUCCCAGGCAAUGAGGGCGGCAGCCAGAGAACCUGGCUGGGGAGGCAAGGCAUCUCGUGG